rnacentral:lncRNA from 1 species
GGCCUAAGCAUGGGCCACAGCCCGCCUUCGCGAACAGGUGGUGGCCGGCCCAGUGCGGUCUCCGCUAGGGGAACCCUAGGCUUCCUGGGUAAAGCAACAGCUGAAAGCUCCCGCUCUGCUUUCCCAACAACGCUGCUUCGAUCCCGCCCGAGUCAUGUUUGGAAACCAUACAGUAUUCUGCGAAGCUAGGACACAGGAAGUGGCACGGGGAGAAAAGGUCGGCAGCAAUAGUUUGUGCACGCUGUGCUAACAACUCGGAGAUUUUCCCAGCGGACUCCUGAACGCUAAAACCGAAGGAACCCAGGGUGCCUAGCGACACCUUCAUUCUCAACAAGGGUCUACGGAGAAACCGAAACUUACAGUGCCACCCGCAUGGAAAGGUGAAAGAAUGCACUCAUAGCCUGAGAACUGCCAGAGAGACAGCGUGAAAGACCUUUAAGAGGUGAAGUUCCCGCAGAGGAUGCCUGUGUGUUCGCGACCUCUUCCAGCACAGGCUUUACACACCACCCGUCCUCUCAACUGUUAGGCAGCCUGUGACCCGGUCAUCAACGUGCAACGCCGACUCCACCCGCCAGCAUUUUGCUGGGAACCGGCUGCCCCCGAAACCCCGCCACUACCUUUCCCCUCCACCACGGCAAGGAACCCACACCAGUCAGAAGCCCCUUGGAGCGUGUGGAGGGUCCUGGGGAACUACCGGGACCUCCUGCCGGGAGGAGGACCGCCGCCCGACAUCCUCAAUCUCAGGAACGCAAAGCCGGGUCCCCGGCCGCGCCCCGGGGUGCGGCGCUGACGGGCUACCGUAGAUCAAGAUCACAGAAUGUUCCAGGCAGAGAAUUUGUCUCUUGUGCUCCCUGGAGUCGUGGAGCCCACUUCCUGCAGGUCUCAACUUCAGUGUAGCCCUCUCAGGGCCGCGGAUUUACCUCAGUGGUUUCACCGCCUGCAGCGCAAGCACAAGGACCCAAGUUCGAUCCCCA